rfam:Habropoda laboriosa contig11333, whole genome shotgun sequence.
ACCAACGGCCAAACUACGCAUGUGUAUACCGGUUCUCGUCCGAUCACCGAAGUCAAGCUGCGUUGGGCACGGAUAGUACUUAGAUGGGUGACCGCUUGGGAACUCCGUGUGUUGUUGGUU